AUGCCCCCCGCCGCCGCCGCCGCCGCCCCGGUGGCCCCCGGGAACCGGCGCCUCGGCCGGCCGCGGGCGCCGAGGGUCGGGCUGCGCGUCUGUGCGGCGGCGGCGGGGGCGGGGGCGGGGGAGGGGCCGUCGUGCCUCUACGUCGGGCCCAUCGAGACCGCCAGCCAGGAGAUGCUCGAGGCGCUCUACCGCCAGGCCAGGGAUUCCUACUACAGCGGCCAGCCUCUGAUUGUGGACGACAUGUUCGACAAAGUUGAGCUCAAGCUCCGGGUCUACGGCUCCCCGUCGGUCGUAAAAUACCCCCGCUGCAGCCUCAAGCGGCAGUCGGCGUAUGCAGACGCCGAGGAGGACCACUCGAUGUUUAUGGCACUGUCGAGCAUCUGGACGCUGCUGCUCCUAUUUGGUACCUCGGCGUUCCUGGUUCCGAGCUUCUACACUCUGAGCCUGGCGUUUGGGGACGCAUUCGGAGCAAGGUCUCUCUUCUCCGGUGCUAAGUCGCUUGACGGGAUAACGAGGGUGAACCACAUGGUUUUGAUCGGAUUAGGCUAUCUGAUUGGCUAUCCGGUUGCAUCCGCGUCAGUUGGUGCACUGCAAGGCCUGCUGACAAACAAUGUGGUUGCACUAAAAGGAUCUUGCCCAAAUUGUGGUGAGCAGGUCUUUGCAUUCGUGAAGACGGAUAAAUCCAUUAAAGCACCCCACAAGGCAGAAUGCCAUGUCUGCGAGUGCCCACUGGAGUACCGUACUAAAGUCGAGAGAUCUCUUUCUGGACCUAGAAGAAGUUGGGUUUAUGGCCGGGUUUAUAUGGUGAAGCAAGGACAUCCUAGGAAAAGGAGAUGGAUAAAAGACUAG
rnacentral:rRNA from 1 species